rnacentral:sRNA from 1 species
GUAGUUUGUUCCUGCUGUCAGGCUCCACUGAGGGGAACGGGGACCUGUCUGAAGAGAAGAUGCCCCUGCUGACACUCUACCUGCUCCUCUUCUGGCUCUCAGGCUACUCCAUUGCCACUCAAAUCACCGGUCCAACAACAGUGAAUGGCUUGGAGCGGGGCUCCUUGACCGUGCAGUGUGUUUACAGAUCAGGCUGGGAGACCUACUUGAAGUGGUGGUGUCGAGGAGCUAUUUGGUAUGACUGCAAGAUCCUUGUUAAAACCACUGGAUCAGAGCAGGAGGUGAAGAGGGACCGGGUGUCCAUCAAGGACAAUCAGAAAAACCGCACGUUCACUGUGACCAUGGAGGAUCUCAUGAAAACUGAUGCUGACACUUACUGGUGUGGAAUUGAGAAAACUGGAAAUGACCUUGGGGUCACAGUUCAAGUGACCAUUGACCCAGGUAAGAGGGAGCGUAUAUAUGUGUGUGUCUCUCAGGGCCUGCUCUGUCCUGGUCUCUGAGGUCCUACUCAAGUGAUUUAAUUGUCACUGAGUGAUCUAUCACUUGAGUCCCGAGUCUCAUAGAAUG